GAUGUCAGACCAGUUUCCAACCACAAAAGAACUUGGAGCUCCCCUGGCAGAGAUUCAUGUUUUAUUCAUUCUAUUGUCCCCAGGGUCUAGUACAGUGCUUGACACGUGGUGGGCACCCAUCUGAAGUGAGAAGAACAAAAUGGCCGAGACAGGGUGCUAAGCCUGCACUUGGGCGUCAGGGAUGCAUAGUUCAGCUCAUCUGAUUUGAAGCGAGCUCUGAACUGCAUUCCACUUCCUCACAUUGACUCUACAUGAAAUUUGCCCAUGGCCUCGCUGCCUGGGAAGCCAGCGAGAGCCAAGAGGAGAGAAGGCCCCUUCCUUUAUGGAGUCCUGACCCCCAAGUGCGUCCCGGAUGGCGCAUCCCACCGCUGAGCUCCGUGACGCCAUUCCACCUCCCCUGGAAAGCCCAGCCAUACAUGGCCCGUGGAAGGCUGUGAUGGGCAAUAACAUCACAGUGGAGACAGCAAGCAUUUUUCAGGGAAGGGUGACUGAGUCACGUCUCUUUACGAAGGAGGCAGGGGAAGGCCCAGGUGGAGUCUCCCAACAGGUGUUUCAACAUGAGCACCCUUCAUGUCAAACCGUCAGUUAUGUGGUGACCGCUCUCGGUGAAUUACCCAGGACCCUUUUUCUGAAACCCAGUGACUGUCGCCCCCAGGAGAGGGACAAGCAAAGGAAAUGAAAUUCAACUUUCCACUCACUAGAAUUCUUAACAGAAACAGGUUUGUGGGAAGUGGACUGAGACAUUUGUCUAAAAUUGGAACUCUGGCUAAUGUGAGGGCUUGGAUCAGUGUUCUUCCCUCCAC
rnacentral:lncRNA from 1 species